AGUCACUUCGCUAGCUCCUAGUCGGCAGCUAUCACUGUCACUGCUGGCGCUUAUAAGAUGAGGAUGCUGUGUGUGGUGGCCCCUGGCUUACUCUGUUCUUCCCCACUUUCCCUCACUUUCUCAUCCCCCAAACACCACCUGAAGCUUCCCUCCUCCUCCUUCAGGCCUUACUCUCGCAAAUCUCCGAUCAAGAUGUCAACAACAACUAUCGAACACAUUGUCCUCUUCAAAGUCAAAGACAACACGGACCCCACCGAAGUCAACACCAUGCUCACCUCUCUCAACGCCCUCGUCUCUCUUGACCCCGUGCUCCACCUCGCCGCCGGUCCACUCUACGGCACCAAAUCCUCUCCCAUUCCCUUCACUCACAUGCUUCACAGCCGCUACUCCUCCAGAGAUGACCUCAACGCCUAUACCGUACAUCCUAGCCACCUCACCGCUGUUAAAGAGUCGGUUCUCCCUAUCUGCGAUGACAUCAUGGCUGUUGAUUGGGUUGCCGAUGAUCUCCAAGGCCCCAUUGUCCUACCUCCCGGUUCCGCAAUAAGAGUGAUCUUUCUAAAAUUGAAGGAAAAUUUGGGCGAGGAAGUGAAAGAUGAGAUUUUGGCCCUUAUUAAAGGGAUCAAGGGGAGUUUUGGAGAGAUCAAUCAGAUAACUUGUGGAGAGAAUUUCUCUCCAGCGAGAGCCAAAGGUUAUUCAAUCGCCUCGCUUGCGGUUUUUCCAGGAGUGAGUGGAAUAGAGGCGGUGGAUUCGAAAGAAGAACUGGUGAACUUGCAAAGAGAGAAGGUGAAAGAUUGUCUAGAGAGCUUUAUUGUUGUCGAUUAUGUGGUGCCAUCUCCAUAGACUGCAAGUCUUUAAUCUUCACAUGCAUAUCAUGUCUUGUAUUUCUGUGCUAGAACUGGAUUAAGAUUUGCUCUAUAAUUGAUUUUGCAUAACUAAGGAUUCUAUAAAUUUGGAUUGUUUAGUUUGUCUACAUAUUUCCUUAUGCUUCGCAUUUGGUUUUCUUGGAUUGUUUAUAUGGCAUUUAUGAAACUAUUCUUGUUGAUGAGCUUGGCUUGGCUAAGGAUUAAAUUAUGUGAUCAUGAAGUGUAUUUUUGUGUAGAAAGGAUGAAGGUAGUCGCCUUGGAUAGAUUGAUACGGAGGAAAUAUCGAGGACGUUCUGCAAAUUUUGUUAUUGAUUUGAUCAUUUCCAUUUGGGUUUUGGAAAAUCAUUGGAAGGCUUAUGUUGUCUAUUUGUGGCCAGUCUCUCUCGUUGAAUUUUGGAGAUUGAUACUUGUUUGUGAUUGAAAUUGAGAAAGGAACUGUGUCUCCAAAUAUUCAAGUAUGAUUGAAUAUGCUGGAGAUUGUAGACUCUUGGGAAUUAUGGAAAUAUUUUUCCACUGAUGAUUUGAAGGUCAGAAGUGAAAAUUAGAUAUUCAAUCCUAAAGAAAAUAAAUAAAUAACUGGGUACUGCCAGAUAGAUUAUUACUAACUUUUGUGCUAGCAGUAUUUUCAUGGUUCUUGAGAUGGUUGCAUCACUGUGAAGACUGCACUGGAAUUGAAUAGCCACUGUUUAUUACAGUAAUGAUUAUGACUGCACAUGGUGCUAUUUGGGGGAUUUACUGUAUUAGGGUAGUGUAGGUAUAAAUUUUAUCAAGACAAGGUUUUGAUUAUAGAAAUUAUCGAAAUGAGAUGAAAAAUGGUGAGUGGAAAAGUGGCAAGACGGGACGCCAUUUAAAAUAGCGUCCGGAGACGGGAUGCCAUUCAAACCAGUGUCCACAGUGGGAUGCUAUUCAAACAAGCGUCCGAAGUGCACGGCAACUUUUUCAGUGAAUCUCUGCAGGUAGUCACGUCAGGCGUUGCUGAUGAAGCGGAUGUCAUUAUAAAUGGCGUGCAGGUUUCAGCUGGGACGCCAUUCACAAUGGCGUGCAGAGCUCAGGUCACUCACCUAGCGAAUCUUGCAGAGAGGGAUGGGAGAGUGCAGUGUGCGUGGGACGCUAAUAUUAUUGGUGUUCAGAGUUUAAAUUUGCUAUAUACACACCCUCAUCUCCCUCAGUUUAUGCCACACAUGAAACCGAACUCAUCUCCUUCAGUAUUGAUCAUCACUCUCUUCUUCUCAUUUUCUGUUUUGUUGGUGUAAAAUUAGUAGAGCUAUUGUCACUCUUCCUGCUUGGUAAACUAGCAACAACGAGAGGAGCUGCAGUCGUGGAAAGAAGAAAAGGUUUAGUUCGAUUCUUAGUUGGAACAACAUAAGUGAAGCUUGGAAAAGUUGUUUGUGCCGAAUUUUUGUCCUUGAAAAUUUAAGGUAUUUAUUUUGUU
rnacentral:misc_RNA from 1 species